ACACAUGCAAGUCGAGGGGCAGCAUAAUGGAUAGCAAUAUCUAUGGUGGCGACCGGCGCACGGGUGCGUAACGCGUAUGCAACCUACCUUUAACAGGGGGAUAACACUGAGAAAUUGGUACUAAUACCCCAUAAUAUCAUAGAAGGCAUCUUUUAUGGUUGAAAAUUCCGAUGGUUAGAGAUGGGCAUGCGUUGUAUUAGCUAGUUGGUGGGGUAACGGCUCACCAAGGCGACGAUACAUAGGGGGACUGAGAGGUUAACCCCCCACACUGGUACUGAGACACGGACCAGACUCCUACGGGAGGCAGCAGUGAGGAAUAUUGGUCAAUGGACGCAAGUCUGAACCAGCCAUGCCGCGUGCAGGAUGACGGCUCUAUGAGUUGUAAACUGCUUUUGUACGAGGGUAAACGCAGAUACGUGUAUCUGUCUGAAAGUAUCGUACGAAUAAGGAUCGGCUAACUCCGUGCCAGCAGCCGCGGUAAUACGGAGGAUUCAAGCGUUAUCCGGAUUUAUUGGGUUUAAAGGGUGCGUAGGCGGUUUGAUAAGUUAGAGGUGAAAUUUCGGGGCUCAACCCUGAACGUGCCUCUAAUACUGUUGAGCUAGAGAGUAGUUGCGGUAGGCGGAAUGUAUGGUGUAGCGGUGAAAUGCUUAGAGAUCAUACAGAACACCGAUUGCGAAGGCAGCUUACCAAACUAUAUCUGACGUUGAGGCACGAAAGCGUGGGGAGCAAACAGGAUUAGAUACCCUGGUAGUCCACGCAGUAAACGAUGAUAACUCGUUGUCGGCGAUACACAGUCGGUGACUAAGCGAAAGCGAUAAGUUAUCCACCUGGGGAGUACGUUCGCAAGAAUGAAACUCAAAGGAAUUGACGGGGGCCC
rnacentral:rRNA from 1 species